ensembl:lncRNA novel transcript
GGCGGGGUUGCUGGGUCUUCCAGGAUCGCGCAUUAGCGGACGCUGGCUACGGGUGGCCGGGCGGGAUGUAACCGGCUGCUGAGCUGGCAGUUCUGUGUCCCCAGGCUUCGGCCCGGCCGCCGCCGCACAUAAACUGCGAGGAGGAGCUUUACGACUUCUCGGUCUUCGGGGCCGGGCGCAGCAAGGGCCAGACUCUGCGCUAGCAGGCGCUGCGCGCCAACCGGCCGGCCCCUGUCGCAGAAGGUGCAACCGAUCGCACUGUCGCGCAGAAGCUCCUCAAUGGCCAGCGCCAGCUGCAGCCCCGGCUGCCCACUCGCCUCACCUGAGCCUGGGUGGAACAAUCCAAAGUUUUAAUCAAAGAAGGUGGUAUUCAGUUGCUGCUUACAAUAGUUGAUACCCCAGGAUUUGGAGAUGCAGUGGAUAAUAGUAAUUGCUGGCAGCCUGUUAUCAAUUACAUUGAUAGUAAAUUUGAGGACUACCUAAAUGCAGAAUCGCAAGUGAACAGAUGUCAGAUGCCUGGUAACAGGGUGCACUGUUGUUUAUACUUCAUUGCUCCUUCAGGACAUGGACCGUUACAUAACUGAAGACUCCCACCUUCAGGCAGGAUUGGGUAGUACAUGUUUGUAACUACCUGGCAUUGCCUUUUGUUGAGACUUAAACCAUUGGAUAUUGAGUUUACAAAGCAUUUGCAUGAAAAAGUGAAUAUCAUCCCACUUAUUGCCAAAGCAGACACACUCAUGCCAGAGGAAUGCCAACAGUUUAAAAAACAGAUAAAGAAAUCCAAGAACAUAAAGUUAAAAUAUAUGAAUUUCCAGAAACAGAUGAUGAAGAAGAAAAAAAACUUGUUAAAAAGAUAAAGGACCAUUUACCUCUUGCUGUGGUGGGUAGUAAUACUAUCAUUGAAGUUAAUGGCAAAAGGGUCAUAGGAAGGCAGUAUCCUUGGAGUGUUGCUGAAGUUGAAAAUGGUGAACAUUGUGAUUUUACAGUUUUAAGAAAUAUGUUGAUAAGAACACACGCAGGACUUGAAAGAUGUUACUAAUAAUGUCCACUACGAGAACUAUGGAAUCAGAAAACUGGCAGCUGUGACUUAUCAUGGAGUUGAUAACAAGAAGAAUAAAGGGCAGCUCACUAAGAGCCCUCUGGCACAAAUGGAAGAAGAAAGAAGGGAGCAAGUAGCUAAAAUUAAGAAGAUGGAGAUGGAGAUGGAGCAGGUGUUUGAGAUGAAGGUCAAAGAAAAAGUUCAAAAACUGAAGGACUCUGAAGCUGAGGUAAUCAGUCCAAUAUUCCAUCUCUUAGCAGACAUUGUGUUCCUUUUUAAAUAGUAUCUUCAGUAAAAUUUAUAGAUAAUAUAACCUUCUUAUACAUAUUUUUUAAAAAUUAAUACCCUAGCAUAACAAAAUGGAGAAAUUUCUACAAGCAAGCACUGUUUACAAUAAAAUAAUAUAGACUUCAAUACAUAAGUGCUUGGACAUAGUGUAUUAGGUAUGACAGCAUAAUAGAGUACUUACAAUGAAUUAUUAAAGUUAUAAUGAACAAGUGUGAGUUGGGAAAAAUAAAAUUAUAAGCCAUUCCAUACAGGUGGCAUAAGAACACUAAAAA